AUAGCCUCUUCCGGCAACCAUUAGUGGGCACGGUUGCUAGGGAGACACGGCGGUAACCUAUAACUUAAAACUUUGUUGUCAUUAGGGAAUAGGUGGGAAUAUGGUUGUGAGAUUAAUGAAACAUGGUACCAAAGAGAUUCCAGAAAGAGAAUUGGUGUAGGAAUAGGGCCUACAUGGGAGGAGGUCAAAGAUGCUGCUUGGAGGGAGCCGAUAACCCGCGAGUGGAGCUUACCCGAGACAGGGCAUCACUGUGUUCCCAAGGCUGGUCUUGAACUCCUGGGCUCAAGCAAUCUGCCCACCUCAGCCUCCCAAGGUGCUAGGAUUACAGGAGUGAACCACUGAGCCUUGCCUGGAGAGAAGUUUCACAAGAGAAGAGGCAAGCCAAGAAGACUGGAACCUACUGCCCUGCUCAGCUCCUAGAAUAGUGGCUUGGAGACUGCCCAGGGGAAAAGACAGUCUGUAAGAAAAAAACUCUGAAAUUCUCCCCAAAGAAAUUAACUUUAUUUGAAACAUAAGGUUCAAGCCUAAUGCUGCUCUUGAAAAUAAUUUCUUCUCUAAAUUUAAGAGCAACAAGCUGUACUUCAGGACAUCUAGUUCACCAGAGAGAACCGGAACAAGGGACAGCUGAGAACAGCCCUCAAAACUGUCUCUGCCUGAAUUUAAUUGGAUCAGACUGCUCAGCAAUUUACACUCUAGAGCAUUUUUUAAAUCAAUAGAGUAAUUAGUUGAUAAUUAUUGGAGACUAAUGGGCUGGCAUAUAACACAGAAUGAGGCACACAGUUUAACAGAGAGAGUACAGAAAAAGAGAGCCUUGCCAAAUUCACUGUCAUCCCAAGGUAACAGUGUGAAUGCCCAAGGCUGUACCCUCUGAAGAGUGGCAUCAAAAGCUUCACAGAGUAGAAAAAAAUAUAAUUUGCUAAAAUAUCCUAGCCAAGUCAUAAAAUAAACCAACAAUAACAAAAACAAGCUCAGAAGAGGGAGGAAGCAAAUCUGUACCCUCAAUUGCUACAAUAUAUUCCCUAAAAUAACCAAUUUCCAACAAAAAAUUAAAAGACAUCUAAAGAAGCAGGAAAGUGUGACUCAUAUACAGGAGGGGGAAAAAGCUGCAAAGACUGCCUGGAAAAGGGACCAGAUAUCGGAUUUAUUAAAGACUUUGAAGUAGCCAUUGUGAAUAUGUCCAGAGAACUAAAGGAAACCAUGUUUAACGAGGUAAAGGAAGAUAUGAACACAAUGUCUCCUCAACUAGAGAAUGUCAAUAAAGAGAAAAGAUUGAAAUUUUA